AGUGAACGCUGGCGGUAGGCCUAACACAUGCAAGUCGAACGGCAGCACAGUAAGAGCUUGCUCUUACGGGUGGCGAGUGGCGGACGGGUGAGGAAUACAUCGGAAUCUACUUUUUCGUGGGGGAUAACGUAGGGAAACUUACGCUAAUACCGCAUACGACCUACGGGUGAAAGCAGGGGAUCUUCGGACCUUGCGCGAUUGAAUGAGCCGAUGUCGGAUUAGCUAGUUGGCGGGGUAAAGGCCCACCAAGGCGACGAUCCGUAGCUGGUCUGAGAGGAUGAUCAGCCACACUGGAACUGAGACACGGACCAGACUCCUACGGGAGGCAGCAGUGGGGAAUAUUGGACAAUGGGCGCAAGCCUGAUCCAGCCAUACCGCGUGGGUGAAGAAGGCCUUCGGGUUGUAAAGCCCUUUUGUUGGGAAAGCAAAGCAGCAGGUUAAUACCCCGCUGUUCUGACGGUACCCAAAGAAUAAGCACCGGCUAACUUCGUG
rnacentral:rRNA from 1 species